UACGUAGGGUGCAAGCGUUGUUCGGAAUUACUGGGCGUAAAGGGCUCGUAGGCGGCCAACUAAGUCAGACGUGAAAUCCCUCGGCUUAACCGGGGAACUGCAUCUGAUACUGGAUGGCUUGAGUUCGGGAGAGGGAUGCGGAAUUCCAGGUGUAGCGGUGAAAUGCGUAGAUAUCUGGAGGAACACCGGUGGCGAAGGCGGCAUCCUGGACCGACACUGACGCUGAGGAGCGAAAGCCAGGGGAGCAAACGGG
rnacentral:rRNA from 1 species